rnacentral:rRNA from 1 species
GUGAGUAACCUGCCUCUGACUCUGGNAUAAGCCUUGGAAACGGGGUCUAAUACUGGNUACGAGACGCUCGGGCAUCCGAAGUGUCUGGAAAGAUUUAUCGGUCAGAGAUGGACUCGCGGCCUAUCAGCUUGUUGGUGGGGUAAUGGCCUACCAAGGCGACGACGGGUAGCCGGCCUGAGAGGGCGACCGGCCACACUGGGACUGAGACACGGCCCAGACUCCUACGGGAGGCAGCAGUGGGGAAUAUUGCACAAUGGGCGCAAGCCUGAUGCAGCGACGCCGCGUGAGGGAUGACGGCCUUCGGGUUGUAAACCUCUUUCAGCAGGGAAGAAGCGAAAGUGACGGUACCUGCAGAAGAAGCGCCGGCUAACUACGUGCCAGCAGCCGCGGUAAUACGUAGGGCGCAAGCGUUGUCCGGAAUUAUUGGGCGUAAAGAGCUCGUAGGCGGUUUGUCGCGUCUGGUGUGAAAACUCAAGGCUCAACCUUGAGCUUGCAUCGGGUACGGGCAGACUAGAGUGCGGUAGGGGAGACUGGAAUUCCUGGUGUAGCGGUGGAAUGCGCAGAUAUCAGGAGGAACACCGAUGGCGAAGGCAGGUCUCUGGGCCGCAACUGACGNUGAGGAGCGAAAGCAUGGGGAGCGAACAGGAUUAGAUACCCUGGUAGUCCAUGCCGUAAACGUUGGGCACUAGGUGUGGGGCUCAUUCCACGAGUUCCGUGCCGCAGCAAACGCAUUAAGUGCCCCGCCUGGGGAGUACGGCCGCAAGGCUAAAACUNAAAGAAAUUGACGGGGGCCCGCACAAGCGGCGGAGCAUGCGGAUUAAUUCGAUGCAACGCGAAGAACCUUACCAAGGCUUGACAUACACCGGAAACUNNA